rnacentral:rRNA from 1 species
GACCGGCGCACGGGUGAGUAACGCGUAUGCAACUUGCCUAUCAGAGGGGGAUAACCCGGCGAAAGUCGGACUAAUACCGCAUGAAGCAGGGGCCCCGCAUGGGGAUAUUUGCUAAAGAUUCAUCGCUGAUAGAUAGGCAUGCGUUCCAUUAGGCAGUUGGCGGGGUAACGGCCCACCAAACCGACGAUGGAUAGGGGUUCUGAGAGGAAGGUCCCCCACAUUGGUACUGAGACACGGACCAAACUCCUACGGGAGGCAGCAGUGAGGAAUAUUGGUCAAUGGGCGUAAGCCUGAACCAGCCAAGUCGCGUGAGGGAUGAAGGUUCUAUGGAUCGUAAACCUCUUUUAUAAGGGAAUAAAGUGCGGGACGUGUCCCGUUUUGUAUGUACCUUAUGAAUAAGGAUCGGCUAACUCCGUGCCAGCAGCCGCGGUAAUACGGAGGAUCCGAGCGUUAUCCGGAUUUAUUGGGUUUAAAGGGUGCGUAGGCGGCCUUUUAAGUCAGCGGUGAAAGUCUGUGGCUCAACCAUAGAAUUGCCGUUGAAACUGGGGGGCUUGAGUAUGUUUGAGGCAGGCGGAAUGCGUGGUGUAGCGGUGAAAUGCUUAGAUAUCACGCAGAACCCCGAUUGCGAAGGCAGCCUGCCAAGCCAUGACUGACGCUGAUGCACGAAAGCGUGGGGAUCAAACAGGA